UUUAAAAUGGCUAGGGCAACGAGACUAGUUCCACGCUUUUCCACCACCACGGUAAUCAUGAUCAUCCUAUACUUGGGUUUGGAGAAAGCUAUUGGUCUGAUUGAUAAAACGGAUAUUGCUAGAUAUUUUAAGAGAGGUGCUUGGGUGCCGCUGAAUUGUCGGCUUACUCGGAUAUUGAAACCAUGUACUGAAAACUUUAUUGGAGCAUGUGUUCAUGGAGUUGAUGAUGGUUGUUGCGAGAGCAUUUGCAAACACUCCGAAAAUGAUAAAUGAGGAUUUUGCAAACCUCUUCCUUACAAACAACAAGGACCAUAUAAUUUCUGCCAUUGUUAUUGUUAGAUUUAAAUUUUGUAUCAAUGAAUAGAUAUUGCUACAAGUACUGCAAUUAUCUAUUUACAAUGUUUUAUUUAUAUUAUAGAAUAACAUAUUUUAAAGUUGCAUUGUCAACAUUUUAAUAUUUCAUAGAUGAUUUCGUGCUUAAAAAUAA